UACGGGGGGGGCAAGCGUUGUUCGGAAUUACUGGGCGUAAAGCGUGCGCAGGCGGUUCGUCGUGUCCGAUGUGAAAGCCCCGGGCUCAACCUGGGAAUGGCAUUGGAAACUGGCGGGCUUGAGUGUGGCAGAGGGGGGUGGAAUUCCGCGUGUAGCAGUGAAAUACGUAGAUAUCAGGAGGAAUACCGGUGGCGAAGGCGGCUAUCUGGCCAUGUACUGACACUGAAGCUCGAAAGCGUGGGGAGCAAACAGG
rnacentral:rRNA from 1 species